AUAAGUGGUGGGAGUUUAUGCAAUAAGUUAACAAAUAUUUAUUGAGUGCCUGCUAUGUGGUAGGCACUGUGAUAAAGACU
rnacentral:miRNA from 1 species